rnacentral:rRNA from 1 species
UACGAAGGGGGCUAGCGUUGUUCGGAAUUACUGGGCGUAAAGCGCACGUAGGCGGAUUUUUUAGUGAGGGGUGAAAUCCCAGGGCUCAACCUUGGAACUGCCUUUCAUACUGGCGAUCUUGAGUUCGAGAUAGGUGAGUGGAAUUCCGAGUGUAGAGGUGAAAUUCGUAGAUAUUCGGAGGAACACCAGUGGCGAAGGCGGCUCACUGGUUCGAUACUGACGCUGAGGUGCGAAAGCGUGGGGAGCAAACAGG